rnacentral:lncRNA from 1 species
AGUGUCAGAUUAUAGCCUGGAUGAUGCCUCUCCAGAUAAGGGACAGGAAGAUCUUUCUCUGGAGAAACUGAAACACCAACUGGGGAUCCCCAACAAAAAUAGGUCCAACUUCUCCAUUGUCCUUCCACCAGUCUACAGCUCUGCCUGCCCUGAGAACUUCCAAUCAGCAUUUGGGUGCUUCACCCUCCAAUAGAGAGAGACACACAAGGAUCGUCAGAAGGUAAGGAGUGCUAGAAGGAAAAGGCUAAAUCAAGAGGAAAUAGCAAAUAAGGGGGUACCUGACUAAGCGUCGACUCUUGAUUUCGGCUCAGGUCAUGGUGUCUGGGUUGUGGGAUUGAGCCCUGCUUCAGGCUCUGUGCUGAGUGUGGAUCCUGCUUGAGAUUCUCACUCUCUCCCUCUCUGCCCCUCUCCCCUUCCCCUGCUCACACUCUCUCUCAUCCUCUCUCUUUAAAAAAAAAGAAAGAACAAAUAAGUAGAAAAGGGGGUG